AGCGAACGCUGGCGGCAGGCCUAACACAUGCAAGUCGAACGAACUCUUCGGAGUUAGUGGCGGACGGGUGAGUAACACGUGGGAACGUGCCUUUAGGUUCGGAAUAACUCAGGGAAACUUGUGCUAAUACCGAAUGUGCCCUUCGGGGGAAAGAUUUAUCGCCUUUAGAGCGGCCCGCGUCUGAUUAGCUAGUUGAUGAGGUAAAGGCUCACCAAGGCGACGAUCAGUAGCUGGUCUGAGAGGAUGAUCAGCCACAUUGGGACUGAGACACGGCCCAAACUCCUACGGGAGGCAGCAGUGGGGAAUCUUGCGCAAUGGGCGAAAGCCUGACGCAGCCAUGCCGCGUGAAUGAUGAAGGUCUUAGGAUUGUAAAAUUCUUUCACCGGGGACGAUAAUGACGGUACCCGGAGAAGAAGCCCCGGCUAACUUCGUG
rnacentral:rRNA from 1 species